UACGAAGGGUGCAAGCGUUACUCGGAAUUACUGGGCGUAAAGCGUGCGUAGGUGGUGAGUUAAGUCUGUCGUGAAAGCCCCGGGCUCAACCUGGGAAUGGCGAUGGAUACUGGCUCGCUAGAGUGCGGUAGAGGAGAGUGGAAUUCCCGGUGUAGCAGUGAAAUGCGUAGAGAUCGGGAGGAACACCUGUGGCGAAGGCGGCCCCCUGGGCCGGCCCUGACACUGAGACGCGAAGGCGUGGGGAGCGAACGGG
rnacentral:rRNA from 1 species